rfam:Schistosoma margrebowiei strain Zambia genome assembly, scaffold: SMRZ_scaffold0001938
GCACUGCUGAGGAGUCCCAUACCAGGACGAAACGGCCGUUCAAUGC